UAUCUCUCCGUACGGGGAAGGAAGAAGCUUCGACUAAGGUUCGAUUCGAGCGCAGCGAGAAAGCGUUGCCGCAGGCAACGACCCGAAGGGUGAGGAGCGGAGCGACGAAUAAUCCUUCCCCCACCACCA
rnacentral:sRNA from 14 species